rnacentral:rRNA from 1 species
ACGAACGCUGGCGGCAGGCCUAACACAUGCAAGUCGAGCGCCCCGCAAGGGGAGCGGCGGCCGGGUGAGUAACGCGUGGGAAUAUGCCCUUUGCUACGGAAUAGUCUCGGGAAACUGGGGGUAAUACCGUAUACGCCCUUUGGGGGAAAGAUUUAUCGGCGAAGGAUUAGCCCGCGUUGGAUUAGGUAGUUGGUGGGGUAAUGGCCUACCAAGCCGACGAUCCAUAGCUGGUUUGAGAGGAUGAUCAGCCACACUGGGACUGAGACACGGCCCAGACUCCUACGGGAAGCAGCAGUGGGGAAUCUUAGACAAUGGGGGCAACCCUGAUCUAGCCAUGCCGCGUGAGUGAUGAAGGCCUUAGGGUUGUAAAGCUCUUUCAGCUGGGAAGAUAAUGACGGUACCAGCAGAAGAAGCCCCGGCUAACUCCGUG